rnacentral:rRNA from 1 species
UACGAAGGGGGCUAGCGUUGCUCGGAAUCACUGGGCGUAAAGCGCACGUAGGCGGCUUUUUAAGUCAGGGGUGAAAUCCUGGAGCUCAACUCCAGAACUGCCUUUGAUACUGAAAAGCUUGAGUCCGGGAGAGGUGGGUGGAACUGCGAGUGUAGAGGUGAAAUUCGUAGAUAUUCGCAAGAACACCAGUGGCGAAGGCGGCUCACUGGCCCGGUACUGACGCUGAGGUGCGAAAGCGUGGGGGAGCAAACAGG